rnacentral:rRNA from 1 species
CCUACGGGAGGCAGCAGUGGGGAAUAUUGGGCAAUGGAGGCAACUCUUACCCAGCAAUGCCGCGUGAAUGAAGAAGGUCUUCGGAUUGUAAAGUUCUUUAAUUGGGGACGAAAAAAAUGACGGUACUCAAGGAAUAAGUAUCGGCUAACUAUGUGCCAGCAGCCGCGGUAAUACAUAGGAUGCAAGCGUUAUCCGGAUUUACUGGGCGUAAAACGAGCGCAGGCGGGUUAACAAGUUGGGUAUGAAAGGCUUUUGCUUAACGAAAGUUUGUAUCAAAAACUGUUAAUCUAGAGUGUAGUAGAGAGUUCUGGAAUUCCAUGUGGAGCGGUGGAAUGCGUAGAGAUAUGGAAGAACACCAGUGGCGAAGGCGAGAACUUAGGCUAUCACUGACGCUUAGGCUCGAAAGUGUGGGGAGCAAAUAGGAUUAGAUACCCUUGUAGUC